AUCAAAACAAUGACUAAUGCUGGGCAACAUAUAGCAGAAGUCAAACAAAAAUGAUUCCUCCUGAAAUGGUACCUUCAUUGGUUCUGAUGUUCUUUUGCAAAAAAUGUCCGGAAGCAGUAUAGAAAACCCCCUGUAUGUGAACCUUAGAUUGUAAGGCAAGCCAGUGCACUGUGUAAUAUGCAAAGGGAGUGGUGCAAAAGAGAAGGCACCCGUCCCAGCUCUCCAUGCCCUUUCCCUGGCAGGCGCUGACUGAGAUGGCGCUGAGUGAAUGUGGAAGGUGCUAAGACCCAGUCUCUUCACUGCAGGGCUGUUUACAGCCAGUUUCUUUUACUCUGACCUUAAGGUUUCCACUGAGCUCAUGAAACUUCAACAUAUGGUGUUUAAAAGUUUCCCACUCAAAUGCACACUUGAAAAUUGGGUCCCUCAGCCUCAUUACUGAACUAAAUAAGUGAAGAAGUUGUAUCUUUGGGGUAAAACUUUCCAGGGCCACUUAAUUUUUUAACCAGUUAAGUACGCAUCUUCCUGGUGGUUCAGACUUUUUAAGUCAGUGCUAAAGCUGAAAAGCGCCUUCUAAAUAUGACUGUGAGUUUAGUUUGUAUCUUACAUUUAGUAACUGUUCUGUUGGGCCAGGACUAUGACUUUAAUUACUAUGUACUUAUUCAUCCCACACUCUGCACUAAAUACACCAUAGCUACUAUAGCAUUGUGGCAGGCACUCAUUUUUGUGGACUCAUUCCAUACUUCUGCUGGCAUAUUUCGUUUAAAAUCUAGCUAAAGAUUUUCAUAGUACUGUGUUAACUAGCCAGGGCUGAAAAGUGUGACAGGAUAUCAAAUUGACUUUCCUUGGGGAAAAUGUUGCUUUGGCAAUAGUGAAGUCCAACUCCUUCAUUUACAGAAUUAGUGAUUACUCAUCAAUUUUUGAAAGUUGUAGAUUAAGUAGUUUUAUUUACUAAAUUCUUAACCACUUUGAAGAUUUAAGCCAGUUGAAAUGAAACAUUGGCUGGAUGCAGUUGGCUAGCACCUGUAAUCCCAACACUUUGGGAGGCCAAGGUGGGAGGAUUGCUUGAGGCCAGGAGCUCAAGACCAGCCUGGGAAACAUAGAUUUGAAAUCUUUUCAAAAAUGUAUAAAAAUUUAAUAAAUAAAUAAAUGAAUCCUUACUCAACCAUAAUUAUGGCUUUAAAACCCAACCAACAGUAAACACUUACUUGAAGCCAAAACAGUAAAUUUUGAAUGAAAUUUGAAUUAUGCUUUUGGAAGCUGCCAUGUCUUAAUUCUUGCUGGAUUUUGAUUUUCAAUUUUGGAAGUUUUUAUCAAAACUGUCCAGUCAUGAGUAUAUCAGGUAGCAGCCUUUAAGGAUCUAAGUUUCAUUCCUAUAAAGAACAGGAGGUGCUGGUAUUUCUUGUCUUAGCAAGUGAUCUGAUGCAGGUCUAAAUGGGGGUUAGCAUCUAUACUAUGGCUUAAAAGUUUCCUCCUUGGUCACCAUUUGGGAGGUGAUGGCUUCAAAGCUAAGCUUUGCUCUCAUGUGACCCUUCUUUAUCUUAAUACCCAAUAAGAUAUAAACCUCUCAGAGUCAACCCAGUGUAGACUCAAAGGGUCUUAGCUUCAUCUAUCAGAUAAGAUCUAUCUGAUUUAUACAAAGAAUGGUGCUGUUUUUAUAUACAUACUAAAAAAAUCUAAUUCUCAAACAAUUUUCUUAAUAUUUAUGCCAGCAAGGUCAGGAAAGACUAUUUUGUCCUGUUUAACUUUAGUAGUGAACAAACUGCUAGAGACAUCUGUCAUCCUUAACAGGCCACUGUGGUCCUUAUAUACUGACCCUCCUUUCCAAUUAACGUCCUUUAAUCCCAUACUAGUUCCAUAAGAGACUUGGCACAUAAAAGCAGUAUUUUUUUUAAUGCCUAGUAAACUGGCCAGAAAAAAAUAUUGCCAUGGUGGACCUGUUUCUAUCCACCUCUUUCUAUGGCUAUAUAAGUCUAUACAUGCCAGUUCCGUACAUACUCCAUUUCCAAAGAGCCCCCAAACCCUGGACAGUAGCACUACCAUGAAUUUUAGGGUCACAAAACAUUUCCUUCUGAAGGAAGCAGCUGCCUCAGCAGUGUCACUUUAGUGACCACUGCCCAGGCUUACUUCACUUUGCCUCCCCCUACACAUCACUGCCCUCUUUCUGCCACCAAACCUCACUAUUCCAGCAAUGAUGCCUCCCUGGUGUCUGGAAAACCCAUCUGGUGCACUAAAAUGCUAUGCAACACCAAAUGGCUUCUUCCCCUAAUAUUGCUCAACAAUGUAAAUUCUUCAAGAAUAAACUUCAUGCUAGGUUAACAUCAAUGUAUGGUUACAGCUUCCUUUUUUUUUUUUCCCUUUUAAAAUGAAGCAAACCACCUCCAUUAAAAUCCAUGUUUUGGGGCUUGUUUUUGUCUCUCAAGUGUGAAAUAUAAAUCAUGUUUUUAUGAUUUUUGUAAAUCUUUUUACACCUUGUUUUUGUAAGCAAAAGUUUCUUAUUAAAAGAAUAAAAUGAC
rnacentral:lncRNA from 1 species